rnacentral:rRNA from 1 species
GAUGAACGCUAGCUACAGGCUUAACACAUGCAAGUCGAGGGACCGGCGCACGGGUGAGUAACGCGUAUCCAACCUGCCCCUAAGUAGGGUAUAACCCGCAGAAAUGCGGACUAAUCCCCUAUGCUUAAGGUAGGGGAUGCGUCCGAUUAGCUUGUUGGUGAGGUAACGGCCCACCAAGGCUGCGAUCGGGAGGGGUUCGAGGAGGAAGGCCCUCUGCAUAGGAACUGAGACACGAUCCUAACGCCUACGAGAGGAAGCAGUGAGGAAGAUUGGUCAAUGAGCGGGAGCCUGAACCGGCUAGGUAGCGUGGAGGAAGACGGCCUAUGGGGUGUAAACUGCUUUUAUGCGGGGAUAGGUACCGGAUGAAUAAGGACCGGCUAAUUCCGUGCCAGCAGCCGCGGUAAUUC